rnacentral:rRNA from 1 species
CAAGAGCGUAUAUUAAAGUUGUUGCAGUUAAAAGCUCGUAGUUGGAUUUCUGGUACAACGCGCCUGGCCCGCUUUUGUGAGUGCCGGUGCGCGUUUGCCAUCCUUCUAGAAAACGUCUCUACUCGGGCAACUGGGCCGGAUUCGCGAUCUAGAUCUUUUACUUUGAAAAAUUAGAGUGUUUAAAGCAGGCUAUUGCCUUGAAUACAUUAGCAUGGAAUAAUAAUCUAGGACUUCGGUUCUAUUUUGUUUGGUUUCUUAGAGCUGAGGUAAUGAUUAAUAGGGAUAGUUGGGGGCGAUUCGUAUUUAACUUGUCAGAGGUGGAAAUUACUUGGUAUUUGUUUAAAGUACGGACUACUGCGAAAGACAUUUGUCCAAGGAUGUUUUCUAUUGAUCAAGAACGAAAGUUAAGGGGAUCGAAGACGAUUAGAUACC